CUUUCCUACCUGGGUAAGGGAUCCGGCCAUAGGUGACAAUUUCCAUCAGCAGGAUACCAAAGGACCAGACAUCUGAUUUGAUGGUGAAGGAACCAAAGUUGAUGGCUUCAGGAGCUGUCCACUUGAUGGGGAACUUGGCUCCUGCAGAGUUGGACAGAGCAGAGUCACGGCUCCUUGAACUAGAGACCUCUUCCUCAGUGAAGCCUUCUCUGAUGGCUCCUGGACCAGGCUCUGCAUUCCCACAGCACCACUGUCCACCAGGUUUCCCCCCAGAGAGUGGAGAGCAAAAGACAGAGUUGGAGGAAAACAGCUGUACAUGGAAUGUGGCCGAGGGGCAGAGCUCCCUUCACACAAUUUCACUCUGCGAGCCAGGAGGCUGAAGUGUUGGAUGUGCCAGAAGAGCCAUGUCAAGGUCAUCUUUGAAAGGAGUCAGCUUGGACCACACUCUGUCCCAGCCCACGCACCUUUGGCCAUGAACUCCGUGACAAUAAAGAUGGGCUCCUGAGAGACCACGGCGUGCAGCUUCACCAGUUUAUCAUGCUGCAGCGUCUUCAUCAGGUUGGCCUCGGCUAGGAAGGCCUCCACAGACAUGCUCCCCGGCUUCAUUGUCUUCACUGCCACUUUGGUGUGCUUGUUGUAGGUGGCUGGGGAGGGCAUGGAGCACAGAGGGUGGUUAGGACCCAGCAGCCCCGGAGGAGCCCUCCCUGCCCCUCUUAGGCCUUUAAGACAGAGAGAGGACAGCCCGGUGGCUGGAGACCAGUUUCCUGCCUAGCUGAAGCAUCUAAGUGCUCUGGGCUUCUUUCCUCACCUGCUAAGUGGGAAGCGCUGUUUGCAAGACUGUAAAAUCCUCCUGUCUGGGCUUGGGGCACAUGCCUGUCAUUCUCCUCUCAAGCCAGUGAAGUAGGAGGAUUGGGGGCUUCCGGCCAGCCCAUGACUCAAAAGACAAGGGUUGAGACUGGAGCUCAGAGGCACAGCACUUGCUUAGCGCAUACAGGAUACUGAGUUUGGGCCCACUAUGACAGUAAUAAGGGUAGUAACCCUUAAGCCACCAAUUAGAUGUGACAUGAGUCUGCACGGUGUAUAAGCUUAACGCUGCCUUGAAACAAAUACCAGAUUCAUGUUGUCCCAUAGGGUCUGCUUGACCUGAUCAUGCCUACUUUUCUGUCCUUGUCACCACCAAGGUCACCUCUGACACAUGCUCAAACUAGAAACUGAACUAGGAUCUCAUACUGGGAAAGUGCUCUACCACUGAGCUAUAUCUCAGCCCCCUUUUCACGUUUUAUUUUUGAAACAGGGUCUUUCUAAGUUGUUCAGGUUGGCCUUGAACUUGAGUCCUCCUGUCUCAAUAUAGUAGCUAGGAUGGUAGGCAUGUAUCACUAGGCCUGGCUCAAUAAAUUCACUCUUGCUUUCUUUUAAAAUAAAUAAAUAAAUAACUUACUACUCUG